AUGAACGCUGGCGGCGUGCCUAAUACAUGCAAGUCGAGCGAACGGACGAGAAGCUUGCUUCUCUGAUGUUAGCGGCGGACGGGUGAGUAACACGUGGAUAACCUACCUAUAAGACUGGGAUAACUUCGGGAAACCGUAGCUAAUACCGGAUAAUAUUUUGAACCGCAUGGUUCAAAAGUGAAAGACGGUCUUGCUGUCACUUAUAGAUGGAUCCGCCCUGCAUUAGCUAGUUGGUAAGGUAACGGCUUACCAAGGCAGCGAUGCAUAGCCGACCUGAGAGGGUGAUCGGCCACACUGGAACUGAGACACGGUCCAGACUCCUACGGGAGGCAGCAGUAGGGAAUCUUCCGCAAUGGGCGAAAGCCUGACGGAGCAACGCCGCGUGAGUGAUGAAGGUCUUCGGAUCGUAAAACUCUGUUAUUAGGGAAGAACAUAUGUGUAAGUAACUGUGCACAUCUUGACGGUACCUAAUCAGAAAGCCACGGCUAACUACGUG
rnacentral:rRNA from 1 species